rnacentral:rRNA from 1 species
AUUGAACGCUGGCGGCAGGCCUAACACAUGCAAGUCGAGCGGUAGAGAGGAGCUUGCUUCUCUUGAGAGCGGCGGACGGGUGAGUAAUGCCUAGGAAUCUGCCUGGUAGUGGGGGAUAACGUUCGGAAACGGACGCUAAUCACGCAUACGUUCUACGGGAGAAAGUGGUGGAUCUUCGGACCUCACGCUAUCAGACUGGCCUAGGUCGGAUUAGCUGGGUGGUGAGGUAAAGGCUCACCAAGGCGACGAUCCGUAACUGGUCUGAGAGGAUUAUCAGUCACACUGGAACCGAGACACGAUCCGGACUCCUACGGGAGGCAGCAGUGGGGAAUAUUGGACAAUGGGCGCAAGCCUGAUCCAGCCAUGCCGCGUGUGUGAAGAAGGUCUUCGGAUUGUAAAGCACUUUAAGUUGGGAGGAAGGUCAGUAGCUUAAUACGUUGCUGAUUUGACGUUACCGACAGAAUAAGCACCGGCUAACUCUGUGCCAGCAGCCGCCGUAACAC